ACAAUGAAGUUAAUACCGUUUUAGAAGCAUCUGACUUCUUGACCAAUAGUAUUACUGUUGAGUUAACAUCCAAUCAGAUAACAGACCUACAGGAUGACAUUAAGACAACAGGAUGUGAAGACUACAGGCUGUUAAGACUACAGGAUGCUAAGACUACAGGAUGUUAAGAUUACAGGAUGUAAAGACUACAGGAUGUUAAGACUACAGGAUGUUAAGACUACAGGAUGCUAAGACUACAGGAUGCUAAGACUACAGGAUGUUAAGACUACAGGAUGCUAAGACUACAGGAUGCUAAGACUACAGGAUGUUAAGACAUCAGAAUGUGAAGACUACAGGAUGUUAAGACUACAGGAUGCUAAGACUACAGGAUGCUAAGACUACAGGAUGUUAAGACAACAGGAUGUUAAGACAACAGGAUGUAAAAACGAACCUCUGCUUCUCAGAGGUGGAAUGAGGGGUUUGAUGAGAUUAUGCAGAGAAGGCUGAAUUCCUAAUGCUGGGUGUUCACUACACGACUUUCAAAAUCCUUACAUCGCUGAGCCUCUCACAUUAAAAGCCUCUCACAUUCCUUUAAUUUUUUGUAUUGCCAACGUAGUGGUGCUCACACUAAACGAUCUGGUACAGAUCACACACUAUAAGAUUCUCCCACUUGGCCGUGAGGAUUCUCCAUACCACCACUCUGUCUAUUGAAAACACUAAUGUAUUAGAAUCUUAUUAACAUACUAGAAGGAGCUGUGGCUCAAUGCAGCACCAUAAAGGUUUUCAGUCAGACAUUCACACAUGCCGUACAGAGUGGAAAUUUCUAGCAACGAUUUUGAAUUGAAUGAUAUUGUUUGGGAACUUCAGAGUUGUAACGAUUUGACACUUUGGCUUUGGUUAAUAAAGGAAAGUAUAAACGAAUCGCUCCAGGCGCGAUGACUGCAAGUAUCACAUGCUCGGUAUCACAUGGUCGGUAUCACAUGCUCGGUAUCACAUGCUCGGUAUCACAUGCUCGGUAUCACAUGCUCGGUAUCACAUGCUCGGUAUCACAUGGUCGGUAUCACAUGCUCGGUAUCACAUGGUCGGUAUCACAUGCUCGGUAUCACAUGGUCGGUAUCACAUGCUCGGUAUCACAUGCUCGGUAUCACAUGGUCGGUAUCACAUGGUCGGUAUCACAUGCUCGGUAUCACAUGCUCGGUAUCACAUGCUCGGUAUCACAUGGUCGGUAUCACAUGGUCGGUAUCACAUGGUCGGUAUCACAUGCUCGGUAUCACAUGCUCGGUAUCACAUGGUCGGUAUCACAUGCUCGGUAUCACAUGCUCGGUAUCACAUGCUAAACAAAGUCAUCAUCUCACUGGCUUCUUCUCUGGUGAGCUCUCAUUGGCUAUUGCUAAUCACUGUUCUCAAAAUGUGUCGUUGCACAUCUCACACGACAAGAUCAUUGCAGAUUUUUUGCCGAUAUAAUCAAACAUGUUUGAAAAUAUUGGGACAUCUGGGACCGAAAAUAUUGGGACAUCUGGGACCGCUCAAAGACGGGAUCGUUAGCCCUCAGAUUGCGUCUCUGACCCGCUUACAUUAAAUGAGCGUUGGUGACGGACGCGCCCCGAGUAGGCAACGACAUGGUGAUUUUGUCAUCAAUCUCAAAAACGUAUCUGGGAGAGCUAAAUCGGGGGCCAGACAACACAGAGGAAAUCCUUGCAUACAGUUGACGAGAGUUACUUUGAGGGCUGAGCCGCCCUACAGACUCAUCAAUUAGUUGGGCCUCCAUCAGACUCAUCAAUUAGUUGGGCCUCCAUCAGACUCAUCAAUUAGUUGGGCCUCCAUCAGACUCAUCAAUUAGUUGGGCCUCCAUCAGACUCAUCAAUUAGUUGGGCCUCCAUCAGACUCAUCAAUUAGUUGGGCCUCCAUCAGACUCAUCAAUUAGUUGGGCCUCCAUCAGACUCAUCAAUUAGUUGGGCCUCCAUCAGACUAGAUUACCAUGACUUCUGAAGUGGGGGGGGGGGAUUUAAUUUGUUCACUUGUCUUCCCACAUCAGUCACUUUUGCAGCUCUGGUUUUUAUCCUCCUUCUUCAGUGAUAAAGACCAAGGACUGAAAACCCACAAGGACAUGUAGUAUGACCACUACCCAGAUACUGUAGCAGGCAUAGGCUGUAGAAAGACCAACCCUUGUUGUUAGCUGUGCAUUGGCUUGCUGCGAAAAUGAGAGUAUUUGACCUAAAAAAAAAUUAAAAAAAUAAGAAGGGGAACUUCUAACAAUCAAAUUGAACAAGACUUACAAUGCUAACGUUAA
ensembl:lncRNA